rnacentral:rRNA from 1 species
CACAGAGUUAGCCGGUGCUUCUUUAGUGGGUUACGUCAAGGUCCCGACGUGUUAGGUCAGAACUUUUCUUCCCCACCGAAAGGGCUUUACAACCCGCAGGCCUUCUUCACCCACGCGGCGUCGCUGGAUCAGGGUUGCCCCCAUUGUCCAAUAUUCCCCACUGCUGCCUCCCGUAGGAGUCCGGACCGUGUCUCAGUUCCGGUGUGACUGGUCGUCCUCUCAGACCAGUUACGGAUCGUCGCCUUGGUAGGCCGUUACCCUACAACUAGCUAAUCCGACUUGGGCUCAUCUGUUAGCGCCAGGCCCUGCGGUCCCCGGCUUUCCACCGUAGUGCGUAUGCGGUAUUAGCCCGAGUUUCCCCGGGUUGUCCCCCACUAACAGGCAGAUUCCCAAGCGUUACUCACCCGUCCGCCGCUCGCCGCCAGGAUUGCUCCCGCGCUGCCGCUCGACUUGCAUGUGUUAGGCACGCCGCCAGCGUUCAAUCUGAGCCAGGAUCAAACUCU